CGCGCGGUAGCUCAGUUGGAAGAGCAUUGGUCCGGAAAGGUCCCAGGUUCAAGCCCCGGCGGCGUUA